GCUCCCUGAAGGAGCUGUGAUCACAGGGAGUUGACAUAGGUGUUGGGAACUGAACUCAGGUCUUCUACAAGAGCCACCUCUCCAGCCCUUUCCUCUCUCCCUCCCUUGGGGGGGGGGGGAGCACUCAUGCAGAGGUCAGAGGACAACAACUUUCAGGAGUCAGUUCCGACCCCACCUCAUUGAGGUGAUAUCCCUUACUUUCUGUUGCCGACUACUGCAGGCUAGCUGGCCCAGGAGCUGAACUUCCAGCAGUCUACUGCCUGGAUGAUCACGUGACUGACUUCUUGCCUUGUACCAUCCCCCGUCCUUCUGGGUGCCUGGAGUGGAAGGAUCUGCCUAAGACAGGCAAGACCGAAGUUUGAGGUAGACGAGCAGGCGAGCCGUUUGCCCGGGCGCAGAGCAUGAAGGCCGGGCGGGCGCGG
ensembl:lncRNA